GAGGUUGGGUGAGGACGACACGUGUAACAUCAUUAUCAAGAUCAGUCGAACGAGUAUCUCCGACACGGUAACAACUUCAGCGCACUAUUGGUCACCAGCUGCAUUCUUCAUCGUAUCAUCAGUUCGCAAUCAUGGUAAACUAUGGCGUUGUUCUGCUGUUGGGUGUUGAAUCGCUGACGGUUGGGUCGACCACUGGUGUACCGAUGUCUCCUGGUCCUGUGUAUGGUGGAUAUCAAAGCACAACAUUGCUGUCUUAAUACUCAUCAUCAACCAAUGCUGCUCCAGCUUACACCACCAAGGCUUCAGAAAAGUUGCAUUAAAGGAGAGAAAAGCCUUUUCCGACACGACAACAACUUCAGCGCACUAUUGGUCACCAGCUGCAUUCUUCAUCGUAUCAUCAGUUCGCCAUCAUGGUUAACUAUGGCGUCGUGCUGCUGUUGGGUGUCGUAUCGUUGAU